UAGCCGCUCCCCGGGCAACGAAGGAGGAGAAACCGGCGUACCAUUCUCUUUUCCUUUUUUCCUUUCUAUUUUUCUCUCUUUCUCUCUUGCGAUCCGCGAGCGAAGAUACGUGUUUCUUCCGCGGCGACGUUCUAACCUGCACCAGCUCUCUGCACGAGCUGUCCACUCNNNNAGCGACGCUGUUCGAGUAACAUCGAAGGGCAGACGGGUGCCGAGUAUCCGUCAGCGGAUCAUGUGACGCGGACCUGAACACGCUCGACGUUGCCCUUAAACGCGUGUGCCCGAUGACAGCGGGCGAAACGGCGCUGCCGACGACGUCGCCCGUGCUACGUCUUCGAUUCGCUGCGUGGAACGUGGACGACGACCGGUGCAAGUUGGUGCCAGUGCGCUAACCUCGAUUCCGUGGCAUCGCGACAUCACGAACCUCGCGGACUGCGUUCGCCGCUCGAUCGCUAGCUCUCGGUGAGAUUACGCCGUGUGCGCGGUAAAGAAAGCAGCGGGUCGCCAAGCUCUCGGACGAGAUGCAAAGCUACGAUGACACCGGUCAUCGUGGAGAAACGACAGCCUGGAAUUAGUAAUCGGCCAGUAUCGACUAACGGUAUCGUUUGAUGACUCGAAGCGACGCACGAGAACGUGGUCCGCGAUGCUGUGAUGGUUCGUCGUCACUGCCGAACAUGCGUUGCAUCGUAAGCCGCUUUCAGCGAUCGAGCUUGGUUGCUUGCCUACGAUAUACGGCUGUCGCAAUCGUUCUGGUGACGUGAUUCGAAAGGAUCGUCCGCUAGGAUGGUGGCGAGGGUCGUUGAGAUGGGAAAUGUUGACGCACGGCAUCCGCACGUUUCGCAGACUCGCUGCAUCGACGUGUUCGGCCAACCAAGGCCGACGUUCUCGACGAGCUAAUUGAUUUAUAUCUUCGGAAAAGCCUGGCCGGUGAGCGAUCUCGGCGCUAUCGUUGGCUGCUCGGUAACAAAGCGAGAGACGCUCGACGAGAUGGUGGAGAGGUCGCGCGAAUGAAAGAAGAGAGUAUAUCGGCAGAGUAUCCUUCAAGGGGAACAAAGAAGAGGAACACACGUGUUGCUCGAAUGCAAAACAGCUUCUUAUACGUGGAGGCUGUCGUUGCGUGCUCGCCGCAGCCAAAAAGUUACGCGAGAUUGUGCAACGCGCGAAUCGAUAUCAUUCGGCGGAACGUCCGAGACCGAUCUGAACAGCUAUCGUAUUUUACUUCUCGCGCAGAGGAUAAAAUUCUGGCCUGGUGCGAGUUCUGCGCGCCGCUGGAAUGACCUUAACCUUUGGCGUUUCGGGGGAAGAAGCGGUCGAGGGAUUAGACGUCGGACAGGGAUCGUGGAGAAGCGUGAAAAUUCGAGAAAGAAUCCCCCUGCGACGUGACGGAUCUAAUUGAACGUAUAACUGUACGCUCUUAUCGACGAGCAGUCCGUAAAAGUAAGGGAUGGAAGAAAGGAUGAGAGGCACGUUGACGCAUUGGUGCUGGAUCUUUAGGCGAACGAUCGCUGCACACGUUUUGUACCGCGACGAUUUCUCAUCACGUACGUCACUCUGAAUCUCAUCGACCAACAUAGUGAUUCGAGCGCCGCCGAAUCGUAACGCAAUUACCAAGUGUCUUCUAAACGAUAAGCAUCGAUCAUCGACAUCGAACGAAUCUCUCCUUAUUGAGAAGCGCGUCGCACCACGGAAUACUUAUACCGAAUAUUUCAACAGCGACUUAUUCGAUCGAAUACGAUCGGCAAAACAUUUUCCACAACCGCAUACACGUAGAGCGAGCGGACGCGCGAAUAACUAGGUUCUUCUCACGAACGACAAACGUACGAGCCCCCGGUAUCGUCCAAGUUUCAUCAGCAACGGCCAACGUCGAAGACGCUCUUUGUAAACGAGUGCAGUCAGCGUCGCAUACAAACAGCUCAUUUGCAUUCUAACGAUACGCAAACAUGGCCGGACGGUUCGCCUCGGUUUGGAACGCAAGUCGGCGAUAGUUUGAUCGUUUCGGCAAGAUCGGUAGCGCUGAAACGUGCUGCACGUUCCGCGACUUUGGACACUGUGCUUCGGACUAAAGCGUGGAUCGGUGGUGUCUGGCGAUCGUGUCGAGUCAUCGUGUUGGGCCUGCGAUGAGUUCGGUUCAAGGAUAAACUCAACUUGUUGCGAGAGAACACACGUACACGAGGUGGGUGGUGGAGGAGGAGUAGAUGCGUGUGGAAGUGUGUCUUGGCGUGAGGCGACGCUUUGGUGCGAAUGUGUGUCGGCUGGUGUGGUCGUUGGUGUCGCUGCUGAUGGUUGCAUCGCAGCCAGCCGUAAAGGAAUACGCUAUUUCGCGCGAGUGUCGGUACCGUGGCGUCGUGGAGGUGUCGUUGCUCGGUCGACCGGUGUCGAUUCCCUCGAUGAUCGAUCGACGACGCGGCCUCCGUUUCUUUCGAUCGAUUUCGCGACCGUGUUGUAUCGAGCGGCCUGGUCGUUCUCGCUCGUCCGUACUUUCAACCGCGUCGCACACGAGAUGAGCAACGGGAGCAACGUGCUCGUCGAGCAUCGGUGUUGGUACCAUCGCGCUAUACAGCGCUUUGACGGAAGUUAAGCAUCGUGAUCGUUGCGAAGAGAGCAAAGGACGAAGGGGAGCAUCGAGUGGUUGGCAGCAGCAGCAGCAGCAGCUCGUCGAAGAAGGCAAGCACGUGACACGAGUGCCGUGACCCGAGACACUUGUUGCACGGCUGCUAUCCCUUAAAGAGUCUGGCUGCACGGCGUUUUCCUUCAACGCGACAGGAUUAGUCAACGUUGAAAAUAAGUAGAAGGAGGAAGAAGGGAAAAGAAAGAGAAUAAGAGGGAAAUAAGAGGGACGUACGUGUGGUGAAUUCCGUCGAACAUCGCGUUUCUUGCGACGUACUCGUGGCAUGUCGACGGCGUUUCCUUUUAACGUGGUUCGCGAGAAGAGGGUCGUCCGUUGACGGGAUGAGAAAAGCACGAGCGGCAAUCGUGUGAUGCUGUCGAGACGAUCGUGGAUUCGUCGUCGGCCAGCGAGCGCACAGGCGACGCGUGGCUCUGUCUAAGAUUAGUGGAAUCGGAGUUUGGAGUUUUCGGGCGUAAAGAGGCAAGUGGAUACCGGGAAGAACGGAGAACAUGAACGUGAUUCUGCGUUUAGACCGGUGACACCGGUGGCGGUUGUGUGUGCGUGGCUAUCGUCGCUGGUAACUCCCAAUUAGCAGACUAUCACUGAGACGACGGAUAUCCUCACUCGGUGGAUAUCGUCGGGCUUGUAGACGGGGCGGGUUCGGCGAAGACAGGAAGAA